AGAGUGGGACAACUCGGGGAAACUCGAGCUAAUACCGCAUAAUCUCUAAGGAGGAAAGCUGGGGACCUUUUAGGCCUGGGCUUUAAGAUGAACCUGCGUCCGAUUAGCUUGUUGGUGGGGUAAAGGCCUACCAAGGCGACGAUUGGUAGCUGUUCUGAGAGGAAGGACAGCCACACUGGGACUGAGACACGGCCCAGACUCCUACGGGAGGCAGCAGUGGGGAAUAUUGCACAAUGGGCGCAAGUGAUGCAGCAAUGCCGCGUGUGUGAAGAAGGCCUGCGGGUUGUAAAGCACUUUCAGUAGGGAGGAAACUGUAACGGAAUAAUACCCGUUACCUUGACGUUACCUACAGAAGAAGCACCGGCUAACUCUGUGCCAGCAGCCGCGGUAAUACAGAGGGUGCAAGCGUUAAUCGGAAUUACUGGGCGUAAAGCGCGCGUAGGGGUUUGGUCAGUCGGAUGUGAAAGCCCCGGGCUUAACCUGGGAAUUGCAUUCGAUACUGCCAGGCUAGAAUGUAGUAGAGGGAAGUGGAAUUCCGGGUGUAGCGGUGAAAUGCGUAGAUAUCCGGAGAACAUCAGUGGCGAAGGGACUUCCUGGACUAACAUUGACGCUGAGGUGCG
rnacentral:rRNA from 1 species